rnacentral:lncRNA from 1 species
UCGAUCUGCUUGGGCCUUGUUGUGUUAAUCGAACUUCAAAGCAAGUGUUGGCGUGGCAACAGUAGCAAUCAAGUUCAGAGUACUGACACUGAGCAUACGAGCACCCUCGUGCUAAUAUACACUCCUAGCUUCUUCUUUUUUUUUGGAAACUCGCUCCUAGCUAGAUUGCAAUGUGCACACGCAAGCUAGUGUCACUGGAUUGUUUUUUCUUUUUUUAAGGGAUUGUUUUUGUUAGUAUCUUUGAGGGAAGCUUAAGUGCCAUUGUUUAUCGCACCCCCGACACUCUUCUUCGAGACUUUAGCCGCAUGUAUGAAUCAAAUCCAUGUAUCUACGGGCAUAUGGCGUGAGAUCGGUCCAAGAGGGCCAGUGCGAGGCCUGAAUUGAACCCCGGGGAACCAGCUUUGCAACAAAAUGUGCCGCUGACUGACUGAGAUAGACGUUUCGAGUUUUGACUCACCAUGAUCGAUCGGAUCGAUGUGUGAUGACAUGAGCUAGCGUGCGACUAUACGGUU